GCUGCCCCCGCCCAGGCGCCGGCGCUGCAGCGCCCAUUGGUCAGGAGCCGCGGCCAAUGGGAGCGGCAGGGGCGGCGCCUGCGGACGGGGCAGCGCGCAAAGCCCCCUGGCCGCACCGCCACGGUAUAGAGCCGGCGGGGGGACGUGCCGCUGCUUCCGGGAGCUGCUUGAGGUUGACAGAUGGAAAGCCCCGGUUCCUGAAGAUGGACCUCAGGAUGCUGCUCUUCACAGACCACUCAUGAUUCUUGGAGAAAUUCCUGCUGAGCUGAUUGGCCAAUUGCUUCUGGGCACCUGGAAUGUGGGCAGCUGCGCCAUAAUCCUGGAGGAAACAUCUGCUGCAUCGAGCGCCGAUUGUAGUGACAUCUUAGCCACUAGACGACCGUCUGCCAGGAACACCUUAAACUCCUCCUUGGCAUCCUCCAGCAACUCAUCAGUAAAUUGGGACAGUGUGUCCCAGUUUACAAAAUCGUAUUUAGAAAAAAGCACCUGCUGAUUAGCAAUGCGCAUGAGAAGCGAGGAGGUAGA